rnacentral:rRNA from 1 species
UACGUAGGGUGCGAGCGUUAAUCGGAAUUACUGGGCGUAAAGCGUGCGCAGGCGGUUCGUUGUGUCGGCGGUGAAAGCCCCGGGCUUAACCUGGGAAUGGCCGUUGAAACUGGCGAACUGGAGUGUGGCAGAGGGGGGUGGAAUUCCGCGUGUAGCAGUGAAAUGCGUAGAGAUGCGGAGGAACACCGAUGGCGAAGGCAGCCCCCUGGGCUAACACUGACGCUGAGGCACGAAAGCUAGGGGAGCAAACAGG